UACGUAGGGUGCAAGCGUUGUCCGGAAUUAUUGGGCGUAAAGAGCUCGUAGGCGGCUUGUCACGUCGAUUGUGAAAGCCCGAGGCUUAACCUCGGGUCUGCAGUCGAUACGGGCUAGCUAGAGUGUGGUAGGGGAGAUUGGAAUUCCUGGUGUAGCGGUGAAAUGCGCAGAUAUCAGGAGGAACACCGGUGGCGAAGGCGGCUCUCUGGACCGAGACUGACGCUGAGGCGCGAAAGCGUGGGGAGCAAACAGG
rnacentral:rRNA from 1 species